rnacentral:rRNA from 1 species
GACGAACGCUGGCGGCGUGCUUAACACAUGCAAGUCGAACGGAGUGGCGAACGGGUGAGUCACACGUGGGUGACCUGCCCUGCACUUCGGGAUAAGCCUGGGAAACUGGGUCUAAUACCGUAUAGUGUGGGAUGGGCCCGCGGCCUAUCAGCUUGUUGGUGGGGUCGGGGCCUACUAAGGCGGCGGAGGGUAGCCGGCCGGAGCGGGUGGACGGCCACAUUGGUACUGAGACACGGCCCAGACGCCUAUGGGAGGCAGCAGGGGGGAAGAUUGCACAAUGGGCGGAAGCCUGAUGCAGCGACGCCGCGUGGGGGAUGACGGCCGUCGGGUUGUAAACUCCUUUCACCAUCUACGCGGUAGAUGGAGAAGAAGCACCGGCUAACUACGUGCCAGCAGCGGCGGUAAUAC